rnacentral:rRNA from 1 species
UUUUCCAUUACGGAGGAAAAGAAACCAACUGGGAUUACCUUAGUAACGGCGAGUGAAGCGGUAAAAGCUCAAAUUUGAAAUCUGGUACUUUCAGUGCCCGAGUUGUAAUUUGUAGAAUUUGUCUUUGAUUAGGUCCUUGUCUAUGUUCCUUGGAACAGGACGUCAUAGAGGGUGAGAAUCCCGUUUGGCGAGGAUACCUUUUCUCUGUAAGACUUUUUCGAAGAGUCGAGUUGUUUGGGAAUGCAGCUCAAAGUGGGUGGUAAAUUCCAUCUAAAGCUAAAUAUUGGCGAGAGACCGAUAGCGAACAAGUACAGUGAUGGAAAGAUGAAAAGAACUUUGAAAAGAGAGUGAAAAAGUACGUGAAAUUGUUGAAAGGGAAGGGCAUUUGAUCAGACAUGGUGUUUUUUGCAUGCACUCGCCUCUCGUGGGCUUGGGCCUCUCAAAAAUUUCACUGGGCCAACAUCAAUUCUGGCAGCAGGAUAAAUCAUUAAGAAUGUAGCUACUUCGGUAGUGUUAUAGCUUUUUGGAAUACUGUUAGCCGGGAUUGAGGACUGCGCUUCGGCAAGGAUGUUGGCAUAAUGGUUAAAUGCCGCCCGUCUAAAAACCCGGGACC